rnacentral:rRNA from 1 species
UACGUAGGGGGCAAGCGUUUGUCCGGAAUCAUUGGGCGUAAAAGAGCGUGUAGGCGGCCCGAUAAGUCCGCUGUGAAAGUCCCAGGGCUCAACCCUGGGAUGCCGGUGGAUACUGUCGGGCUCGAGUCCGGAAGAGGAGUGUGGAAUUCCUGGUGUAGCGGUGAAUGCGCAGACUAUCAGGAGGAACACCGGUGGCGAAGGCGGGUCUCUGGGCCGAUACUGACGCUGGAGGCACGAAAGCCGUGGGGAGCGAACAGG